CAACGGAUCUCUUGGUUCUGGCAUCGAUGAAGAACGCAGCGAAAUGCGAUAAGUAAUGUGAAUUGCAGAAUUCAGUGAAUCAUCGAAUCUUUGAACGCACAUUGCGCCCUUUGGUAUUCCGAAGGGCAUGCCUGUUCGAGCGUCAUUACAACCCUCAAGCU
rnacentral:rRNA from 1 species